rnacentral:rRNA from 1 species
UACGUAGGGCGCAAGCGUUGUCCGGAAUUAUUGGGCGUAAAGAGCUCGUAGGCGGUUUGUCGCGUCUGCUGUGAAAACCUAAGGCUCAACCUUGGGCUUGCAGUGGGGUACGGGGCAGACUAGAGUGCGGUAGGGGGUGACUGGAAUUCCUGGUGUAGCGGUGGAAUGCGCAGAUAUCAGGAGGAACACCGAUGGCGAAAGGCA